UACGUAGGGUGCAAGCGUUGUCCGGAAUUAUUGGGCGUAAAGAGCUUGUAGGCGGUUUGUCGCGUGUGCUGUGAAAUUUCGGGGCUCAACCCCGAACUUGCAGUGGGUACGGGCAGACUAGAGUGUGGUAGGGGAGAGUGGAAUUCCUGGUGUAGCGGUGAAAUGCGCAGAUAUCAGGAGGAACACCGAUGGCGAAGGCAGGUCUCUGGGCCGCUACUGACGCUGAGAAGCGAAAGCAUGGGGAGCGAACAGG
rnacentral:rRNA from 1 species